rnacentral:lncRNA from 1 species
AGCCCCGCCUCUCCACCUGCAGCAGCCGCAGCUCCUCCUUGCUGGCGUCGGGCUGGCUCCGCAGGCUGUCCAGCUCCAGCUGCAUGCUCUCCAGCUUCUGCCCGCGCCGCCGCACCAGGUGGAUCAGUAGGUUGUGCAUGUUCACGCGGUCGAAGACGUACUUGCGCAGCUUCUCCCGCACCACCUGGGUCGGGAAGGGCACCGCCCACUCGUGGUUGCGUAGGGGGCCGCCAUGGAGCCCGCCAGCAGGCGGGCGGGUGGAGGCUCGUGGCAACCCCACAGGGAACCUGGGGCUGGGCACCUGCUCCGUCCCUCGUCGGCUCCGCAACAUCUAGUGGGGGGGUGCUGGCAGGGGUGGGGAGGGUUGGGUCUCGAGGCCCCUCCUGCCUGGUUACCUCCAUGGUGCUGCGGCAGUGCGCCAGUCGCAAAGGCAAGUUUUUCCCGCAGGCCUUGGAGAUGGUCCACUGGUCAUACUGCGGAGCGGCGGCGGCUGAGCUAGAGCGGGCCCUUUGCGCACCCGCAGCCGCUGGCUCCUCCAGGCAUUCUCCCCAGGGCCUCUUGUAUCCCACGCUAGCCCAGUAGCGAGAUCCCUGCUUCCACGAGGAGCAGAGAGCCGCGGGACCCCAUCCUGGCCAUCCAAGUUCGGAGGCGACGUGGUAGGGGGGUAUGCAGAGGAGGGCCUGGGUGUCCCCUAGCUGGCCGGAGAGCCAGAGGGGGCCCCUGCUGCAGGAUGUGGGCUCACAGAUGCCAAGCCCUCGGGUUGGGUGGUGGGAAACCUGCCCACCGGAUGCUGGGGUGACUGGAGCCCAGGGCACAGGUCCUAGCAGAGCCCCUCCUCACAUGCCCCCUGGAUCCAGAAAGAUUGGGGUGGGGGUGGAGAGGAGGUGCCCGCCCUCCGAGUGUGUGUGUACUCAGCUCCUGCCCUGCUCGCCAGGCAGAGGGGAGGGGCGGCGUUUGUGUACCUUCUUGGCCAAAGCCCAGUCCUGGGCCCCGCGGCGGAUGUUGCUGCGCAGGAGGGCCAGCGUGGCCUUGUUCUGGUCCAUAUUCUCUUUCACCCCUUGGAUCUGGAGUGCCCGACACUGCUCUGUGGGCAGGUGGAGGGGACACAGUGGCUAGGAUUGGGCCAAGGGCCUGGCCUGGAAUCCCCUGGGGGAGGCUUGCAUCAGGGAGGCCCCAGGCCCCAGGGUCCAGGGGGAUGCCCCCUCCAUGGCCAAGAUCCCUCCUCCCGCCCUGUCCUGGGGGACACCGCUCCACUGCCCAGCAGCAGCUGUCUGAAGGGCUCUCAGUGGACAGGUGCGGGGAGGUGGACAGGUGGGGAGGGUGAGGCAAAGGAGAGGGAUGGCAGGGUCCUGUGGUCCCGUCCAGAUUUGCUGCCCAUGGAAGCAGGUGGGUGUUUUCCUGUCCAUUCUGGCUUUGGGGCCCGUGUUGCUCUUAUGCUCACGUCUCCUUGAAGCCCCUCUCUCUGAUUUAGUCCCUCCAUGCAGGUCCCUUUGAUCCCUUCUCCCAGCUCUGUCAGGGAGUGGGCAGUAGGGGGGUCUGUUUUCCCCUCCAUGUCCUGGAUUGUCCCUGUAUUAAAACUAAAAGUCCUAGGCCAGGAGCGGUGGCUCACACCUGUAAUCCCAGCACUUUGGGAGGCCGAAGUGGGCGGAUCACCUGUGGUCAGGAGUUCGAGACCAGCCUGGCCAACAUGGUGAAACCCCAUCUCUACUAAAAAUACAAAACUAGCUGGGUGUGGUGGUGUGUGCCUGUAGUCCCAGCUACUCAGGAGGCUGAGGCAGAAUUGUUUGAACCCAGGAGGUGGAGGUUGCAGUGAGCUGAGAUUGCACCACUGCACUCCACCUGGACGACAGAAUGAGACUCUGUCUCAAAAAAAUAAAUAAGCUAGGCGCCGGUGGCUCAUGCCUGUAAUCCCAGCACUUUGGGAGGCCGAGGCGGAUGGAUCACCUGAGGUCAGGAGUUUGAGACCAGCCUGGCCAAGAUGGGUAAACCCCGUCUCUACUAAAAAUACAAAAAUUAGCUGGGCGUGGUGGUGGGCACCUGUAAUCCCAGCUACUCGGGAGGCUGAGGCAGGAGAAUCACUUGAACCCGGGAGGUGGAGGUUGCAGUGUGCUGAGAUUGCACCAUUGCACUCCAGCCUGGGUGACAGAGCGAGACUGCGUCUCAAAAUAAAUAAAUAAAUAAAAAUACAAAUACGAAAAUUAGCUGAGUGUGGUGGCGUACACCUGAUGUCCCAACUAAUCAAGAGGCUGAGCCAGGAGAAUCGCUCGAACCCGGGAGGUGGAGGUUGCAGUGAGCCGAGAUCAUGCCACUGCACUCGAGCCUGCGUGACAGAGCGAGACUCUGUCUCCAAACAAACAUCCCCUAAAAGUGAAGGGGGCCUGCCCCUCCACACCUGCGGGUAUUUCUCGUCAGGUGGGAUGAAGACUGAGAAAAGAAAUAAGACACAGAGGCUGGGCAUGGUGGCUCACGCCUGUAAUCCCAGCACUUUGGGAGGCUGAUGCGGGCAGAUCACGAGGUCAGGUGAUCGAGACCAUCCUGGCUAACACGGUGAAACCGCAUCUCUACUAAAAAUACAAAAAAUUAGCCGGGCAUGGUGGUGGGUGCCUGUAGUCCCAGCUACUUGGGAGGCUGAGGCAGGAGAAUGACGUGAACCCAGGAGGUGGAGCUUGCAGUGAGCCGAGAUCGCGCCACUGCACUGCCGUCUGGGCAACAGAGCAAGACUCCAUCUCAUAAAAAAAAAAAAAAAAGACACAAAGUAUAGAGAAAGAACAGUGGGCCCAGGGGACUGGCACACUCAGCAUGCGAGGACCUGCACCAGCCCUGGUCUCUGAGUUCCCUCAGUAUUUACUGAUCAUUAUUUUUACUAUCUUGGUGAGGGGAGUGUAGCAGGGCAACAGGUGGUGAGAACGUCAGCAGGGAAACAUGUGAGCAAAGGAAUCUUUAUCAUGAAUAAGUUCAAGGAAAGGUACUAUGCCCAGAUGUGCACGUAGGCCAGAUUUGUUUCACGUUACACAAACAUCUCAGUGUAGCAAAGAGUAACAGAGCAGUAUUGCUGCCAGCAUAUCUUGCCUCUAGCCACAGAGCGGUUUUCUCCUAUCUUAGAAUAGAACGAAUGGGAAUGGUCGGCUUUACACUGAGACAUUCCAUUCCCAGGGACGAGCAGGAGACAGAUGCCUUCCUCUUAUCUCAACUGCAAAGAGGCCUCCCUCUUUCACUACUCCUCAGCACAGACCCUUUACUGGUGUCGGGCUGGGGGAUGGUAAGAUCUUUCCUUUCCCACGAGGCCAUAUCUCAGGCUGUCUCAGUGGGGGGAAACCUUGGACAAUUCCCAGGCUUUCCUGGGCAGAGGUCCCUGCGGCUUUCUGCAGUGCACUGUGUCCCUGGUUAAUCAAGAAUGGAGGAUGGGGAUGACUUUUACCAAGCAUACUGCCUGCAAACACAUUGUUAACAAAGCACAUCCUGCACGGCCCUAAAUGCAUUAAUCUUUGAUUCAAUACAGCACAUGUUUCUGUGAGCACAGAGUUGGGGCUAAAGUUACAGGUUAAUAGCAUCUCAAAGCAGAAACAAUUUUUCUUAGUACAGAUCAAAAUGGAGUUUCUUAUGUCUUCCUUUUCUACAUAGACAGUAACAAUCUGAUCUCUCUUUUCCCCACAAAAAGUUGUGCACCCAGAAACCCCCAGACGGGAAAGGGAGACUGGUCACGGCGGUGCAGGCUCACCCUGGAGCUGAGUGAUGGUCUUCAGCUCCUGGGUCUGCUCUUCCACAUCUGUCUCACUGUGCCUCCUCAUGGCUGCUCUCAGGCCCCCCAAGGGACCCUGUGUACCUCAAAGCCUCCCUGGGCUCAGCUUGCUCAGAGCCGCCACUCAGAUUGUCCCCAGAACCUCAGCCCAUUAUGAUGAGAGCCAGGAUUCUCAGUGCCUGGGCAACCCUGGAAUUGCAGGGCCUCCUGCCUCACUCUGCCCCCAGCCACCUUGGGGUGGCCUCCAGACAUGUGUCCUAAUUGAAAUGAGUCUCCUGGCAGCUGCUCGAGGCUUAGGAGCUCUGCCGGGCGGAUGUGCUUUCUUUGAGGGGGAGGUUUGUGAUGGGUCUGCAGCACCGGCAGCUCACACCUGCACUGGGUUCCCUCCCUGGCCCCUCCCAUGCCCCAAGCCAUCCUCCACAAAGCAGCAGGCCGAGCCUCCUAAAACGAUUCUGAUACUAUUCUGAUACUGCCUUACGGGACCUCCCUCUGCACCCCCCACCCCCAGCCCCAAGUCCAAACUCCAUGCACUGGGUAACCUGGCUCUUGGGACACCCCCACCUUAUCUCUUCUGACUUCUGUCCCUGACCUCUCUGUGCUGUCUGGAGCCCACCCUGCUUCACCCCCACUUUCCUUUGGGAAUUACUGGGUCUUGGGUUCAUGUGUCACUCCAGAAAGGGUAUGUUCUCCAUCUCUGCACCCCCUCCACCCUUCCCUUAGAGGGGAGUACCUGGAGCACCAGGCAGCCUGGAACUCUGUGGGGUAUGCACGAGAUGGGGUACACACGAGAUGGGGUACUUUUUCCCAGCCUUGCCUUAGUAGGCUCAGGCGGCCAUAACAAGGUGCCACUGGCCAGGUGUGGAGGCUCACGCCUGUAAUCCCAGCACUUUGGGAGGCUGAGGUGGGUGGGUCACC